UACGAAGGGGGCUAGCGUUGCUCGGAAUCACUGGGCGUAAAGCGCACGUAGGCGGAUCCUUAAGUCGGGGGUGAAAUCCUGGAGCUCAACUCCAGAACUGCCUUCGAUACUGAGGAUCUCGAGUCCGAGAGAGGUGAGUGGAACUGCGAGUGUAGAGGUGAAAUUCGUAGAUAUUCGCAAGAACACCAGUGGCGAAGGCGGCUCACUGGCCCGGGUACUGACGCUGAGGUGCGAAAGCGUGGGGAGCAAACAGG
rnacentral:rRNA from 1 species